ACUCUGUUCCCUACACGACGCACUUCUGGGGUUGGGAACAGACAGGACAGAACAGCUGCCCUCCAGGGCUUGGGAAGUCAACAGGAGAAAUGGCCAAGUACAUAGAUGAAUGGAGGACCGAAACGAUCGA